GAUGAACGCUGGCGGCGUGCCUAAUACAUGCAAGUCGAGCGAACAGACGAGGAGCUUGCUCCUCUGACGUUAGCGGCGGACGGGUGAGUAACACGUGGAUAACCUACCUAUAAGACUGGGAUAACUUCGGGAAACCGGAGCUAAUACCGGAUAAUAUAUUGAACCGCAUGGUUCAAUAGUGAAAGACGGUUUUGCUGUCACUUAUAGAUGGAUCCGCGCCGCAUUAGCUAGUUGGUAAGGUAACGGCUUACCAAGGCAACGAUGCGUAGCCGACCUGAGAGGGUGAUCGGCCACACUGGAACUGAGACACGGUCCAGACUCCUACGGGAGGCAGCAGUAGGGAAUCUUCCGCAAUGGGCGAAAGCUUGACGGAGCAACGCCGCGUGAGUGAUGAAGGUCUUCGGAUCGAAAAACUCUGUUAUUAGGAAAGAACAAAUGUGUAAGUAACUAGGCACGUCUUGACGGUACCUAAUCAGAAAGCCACGGCUAACUACGUG
rnacentral:rRNA from 1 species